rnacentral:rRNA from 1 species
UACGGAGGAUCCAAGCGUUAUCCGGAUUUAUUGGGUUUAAAGGGUGCGUAGGUGGCCUGUUAAGUCAGGGGUGAAAGACGGUAGCUCAACUAUCGUAGUGCCCUUGAUACUGAUGGGCUUGAAUGAACUAGAGGUAGGCGGAAUGUGACAAGUAGCGGUGAAAUGCAUAGAUAUGUCACAGAACACCAAUUGCGAAGGCAGCUUACUAUGGUUUUAUUGACACUGAGGCACGAAAGCGUGGGGAUCAAACAGG